ACUAUUUUGGCAGAAUAGUGCACUAAAUUUAGAAUUUAGACAAGUGAUUAAUUAUCAUAUAUAGUA
rnacentral:tRNA from 1 species